rnacentral:rRNA from 1 species
AGUGAACGCUGGCGGUAGGCCUAACACAUGCAAGUCGAACGGCAGCACAGUAAGAGCUUGCUCUUACGGGUGGAGAGUGGCGGACGGGUGAGGAAUACAUCGGAAUCUACUUUUUCGUGGGGGUUAACGUAGGGAACCUUACGCUAAUACCGCAUACGACCUACGGGUGAAAGCAGGGGAUCUUCGGACCUUGCGCGAUUGAAUGAGUAGAUGUCGGAUGAGCUAGUUGGCGGGGUAAAGGCCCACUAAGGCGACGAUCCGUAGCUGGUCUGAGAGGAUGGACAGCCACACUGGAACAGAGACACGGUCCAGACUCCUACGGGAGGCAGCAGUGGAGAAUAUUGGACGAUGGACGCAUGCCUGAUCCAGCCAUACCGCGUGGGUGAAGAUGGCCUUCGGGUUGUAAAGCCCUUUUGUUGGGAAAGAAAAACAGCAGUUUAAUACCCCGCUGUUCUGACGGUACCCAAAGAAUAAGCACCGGCUAACUUCGUG